UAUACUUCUUACAGUGUUGGAUAUUCAGAUCUAUCAAUAGAAGAGGACGCCGGCUGGGACCGUGAGCGGGAGCCUUAUUCACUUUGAGUUUGUUGUGGACUGCAGUGUUUAGUGUGAAGUGGACACGUGUGAUUCUUUGAAGUGAUUUACUGCAUGCACAAGUGUGGGUGUAUAAUUCUGCUGCCUGCUCUGGAGAUAAACUGCUGUGUGGAAGUCUCUUACUACAGUCUGUUCCAUCAUCUGUUGUUGUCUGUUCUGAAGAGAAGCCGCUGGGUGAAGAUCCCUUACCAGUUGUUCCAUUGUCUGCCGCUGUCUGCUCUGAAGAGAAGCCGCUGGGUGUUGACCAUUGGCUGUUCUGAAGAGGAAUCACUAUACCCACCAUCGACUGUGUUAGAAAGGGACUGCUGAGUGGAGAUCUCGUAGCCCUAUCUGUCCGAUCCUUUGUCGUCUGUGUCGAGGAAGACUUACUGAGGGACCCCCCCCUUUACCAUCGCCUAAAAGGCUACGUACCAGUUCUGUCUGAAGAGGAACGAUUGAGUUGGCUUCCCGUUCUGUUAUCCGCUGGGUUGUGACUGUUGCAUCAAGGGCUCCCACUGCUGUCGGACAGAGGAGGACAGAGUUGGAACUCUUCCAUUACGUGUUUUAAUAACUAGGAUUCUAAUUCAAUAAAACUGAACUUUUAUUACUUACCUUGUUGUCU
ensembl:lncRNA